rnacentral:rRNA from 1 species
UACGGAGGGGGCGAGCGUUAUUCGGAAUUAUUGGGCGUAAAGGGCGCGUAGGCGGCUGUACAAGUCAAAGGUGAAAUCCCUCGGCUCAACUGAGGAACUGCCUUUGAAACUGUACGGCUUGAGGCCGGGAGGGGGUAGCGGAAUUCCCAGUGUAGCGGUGAAAUGCGUAGAGAUCGUAAGGAAGGCCAGUGGCGAAGGCGAGUUCCUGGACAGUAACUGACGCUGAGGCACGAAGGCCAGGGGAGCAAACGGG